rnacentral:pre_miRNA from 1 species
AGAUAUGUUUGAUAUUCUUGGUUGUGACACUCAUUCCAACCAGGAAUCAGACAUAUGCUUA